rnacentral:rRNA from 1 species
GAUGAACGCUAGCUACAGGCUUAACACAUGCAAGUCGAGGGGAAACGGCAUUGAGUGCUUGCACUCUUUGGACGUCGACCGGCGCACGGGUGAGUAACGCGUAUCCAACCUUCCCAUUACUGUGGGAUAACCUGCCGAAAGGCAGACUAAUACCGCAUAGUCUUCGAUGACGGCAUCAGAUUUGAAGUAAAGAUUUAUCGGUAAUGGAUGGGGAUGCGUCUGAUUAGCUUGUUGGCGGGGUAACGGCCCACCAAGGCUACGAUCAGUAGGGGUUCUGAGAGGAAGGUCCCCCACAUUGGAACUGAGACACGGUCCAAACUCCUACGGGAGGCAGCAGUGAGGAAUAUUGGUCAAUGGACGGAAGUCUGAACCAGCCAAGUAGCGUGCAGGAUGACGGCCCUAGGGGUUGUAAACUGCUUUUGUAUGGGGAUAAAGUUAGGGACGUGUCCCUAUUUGCAGGUACCAUACGAAUAAGGACCGGCUAAUUCCGUG